AUUUUUCCAAAAUAGGAGCCAAAAUAUUUGCUGCCCCUUUAGCCUAAACAGUAGUGAUCCAUUAAACUGUGGAAACCCUCUCUAUACCCUCCAUUGCGAGAAAAAUACCUCCACAGUUUUGUAUUUAGACUCACGAGAAUACUACGUGCAGGCAAUCAACUACAACAACUUGACAAUCCGAGUGGUUGAUGCUGGUGUUACACAAAAUGAUUGCUCUUCUCUUCCUCAUUUUUCUUUAACAUAUGCAAGAUUAGGUAAUUCCAGAAGUGCAUAUAAUAUUUCUACUUCAACAAAUACAGGCUUAGAUUAUAUCAGAUUUCCAUAUACAUGGUUUCAAUACAAAGAGACAAGGCGGAAAUGGAUUCCCGAAUACAAGCCUCUCCCGUUAUCGCAGAUGAUGAUUUUUAUAAACUGUGCAAAUCCAGUGAAUUCUCCUCUGUACGUAGAAUCCGGUACUUGCCUUAAUGGAGAAAAAUCUUCCAAUGUUUCACUCUUGAGGCGUUCUUAUGUGAAUAUUGGUGGCAUGAAGGCCUCGGAUCUAAUGGAACUGUGCAGCUUAGAGAGGAUGACGUUGUUGCCAGCCAAGGAUUACAAGAACAUGUCCUUUAAGGAUAUUCAGAGUCAGCUGGAAUACGGGUUUGAGAUUUCAUGGCACAAUAGCAUGUGUGGGAGUUGUGAAUAUGAAUGCUACAUCUAUGAUUCGAACCUGACACGCUGCGCAGGUGGGCAAUAUUGAGUAACAAACUGUUCGUUUUUCUAUCUCCAACUUCUCUUGUCUCAAAAUAUAUGAUUACUCUGUUUCUGAGAUGGCUGCCAGCUCUUGAUGAAGACGCCUCCUUAGCAUACCUGUGUUCGUUCUCUUCAUUGCUGUGGAGCUAAGAGGAUUAGGAGGUGUACUUAACCUGUCUCCUUCACCUUCCAGCAUCUGGACAACAAUUUUCAUGGAAGGACGGUCCACUGGGUUCCACUGGAUGCACCACAGUCCCACAAUGGCUAGCUUCUUCGCAAUUUUAGCAUCCCCUUCUUCCUCGAUUUGGAACCGCAGGUCUUCUCCUUCUUCUAAAAGAUUAUAAAUCCAUUCUGGGAAGUAUACUUGAUCACCAUUUUCUGCUGUAUCAUCAACAUUUUUCCUUCCACCAACCAUUUCUAACACCAACAUUCCGAAACUGUACACGUCUGUUUCUUGAGAACACUUCAGGUGCUAUGUAGCCAACGGUUCCCCGAGCUGUUGUCAUGGAAAUAGCACUUUUAUACUUGGAACACAACUUAGCCAGACCGAAAUCUGCAAUCUUGGGAUUGAAGUCAUUGUCCAGCAGGAUAUUAUGCGGUUUGAUAUCAAAGUGGAGGAUUGUUUGAUCACAACUCUGGUGAAGAUAUUCAAUCCCUUUGGCUACUCCAAGGGCAAUAUGAUGCAGCCUUUCCCAGCCAAGGAAAACAUUCUUGGUGUUUGCAGAAGAUAUGAACUUCUGCAGCGAAUCGUUUGGCAAGUACUCGUAAACUAGAGCUCGUCUGAAUCCAUCAGCACAGAAGCCAAUCAAGCGGACUACAUUGACAUGGUGAAUCCUAGCCAUUGUUUCCAUUUCAUUGACGAAUUCCUCUCCUUUUUCUGAUGAAUUGUUUAGAACCUUAACAGCCACCGGAAUCUCACUGGUUAGCAUUCCUUUGAACACAGUUCCAUAAGCUCCUUGCCCCAAUUCAUCCCUGAAUUGAUUUGUCAUCUUUUUGAGAUCAGCAUGGGAGUAUCUUGUGGGGUUCAUAGCUCUGUAAUCAUCCAAAAACCUUUCAACCUUGUCCUGAUAUUCUUCUUCUGAUUUUCUGAAGCUAUAGAUUUGGUAGACUGCAAUGACCAAAACCCCGAAAAGGAUGGAUCCUGUGGUUACGCCUGCAUAUAUAAACAAGCCUUUUGAGUCAAGAGACAUGUUCUUUUUUGGAAGCAAUGUAUUGGAGCAAAUUUGAGAACAACUAACCUAAAGUCAGUCGCUUUUUCCGUGCACCUGUAGAAGAUAAGAACCCUUGUUAAGCUCUAAUUUUCUGAAAGUUUCUGAAGUCAUGAUAAUAUCCUCUAUUUGUAGAAUCAAGAACGCUAAAUGCACAGGGAACCCACUUGUCAGUGAACUCACUAGUAGAUAGGACUUAGGUGUUCAAGGACACUUGCAAUACAUUAAUCAAAGUAGAGAUGUAGACUUAGUGAAGCAAGGAAUCAUAGAAAAUCAAGAUGCCAUGAACACAGAACAAUGAAAAGAAAGCUUAAAGCUAAAGAUACCUUUCUCUGGUCUGGGAUUGAACCAGGAGAGACGAAUAUCUUGUGGAACAGGUAGGUCGUACAUCUUGGUACAAGAUAAUAAUAACUCGUUGUCAUCAAUAGAUUGUUCUGAAUCAACGGCAAGAACGUCAUAGUGGAGAGUGCUGAGACAAGGGAUUUUAGGCCGAGAUGUUGCGUUAUUUAAAGAGCAAUUGAAGAUGGUAAAAUUGUCCUUGGACAUCUUAAACUGUAUGUGAAACACAGAGGAUUUGAAGUUUGAGUGGUGGCUUCGAAGGCAACCUUGGGGAUCACUUGCCUAAAUAACUUGAUUUUUGUAGUCAAUCUUAUCUAUGUAGAGUUUCACUGCAGCUGGCAGCUCGAGCACUAUAUCGCCCAUCUCAUUACAAGACAGAUCAAAACCAUAAUAGCCACACUGUUCUGGCUGCCUAUCCUCUUGGGUCAGGAUUUCUCUGGUGAUGGGGGAGAGAACAAGGAAUUCUUGUUUUUUAUUAAUAAAAAAACAGAUCGAGUCGUCACCUAAUAUUUUGAUCAUUAGAUACUCUAACUAGUUUUAGAGUUUAGAUACGAGAACUAGUUGUGUAUAGAGAUGAUUUAUCAUCCCUUGUACACCUUACGUAAAGUAAACUGUAUUGUUUAUUUGUCUGAUAUAAACUAAGAUAUUGUUGUGUUUUUUAAUUGUUGAUCUGUCUAAGGUUUAAGAAAAGUUCUUCUUGAUAACAAGGUCCUUAUCUUAUUAGGUUAAAUCCUAGUAAUUCUAAAAUCAAAAUGUAAAAAUAAAAGAAAGUGUCUUUUUAUUCAAUAUCAUGAAUGCAUCUUAUGUUUAAGUUCACAGUCUCAUUUAUUAAAAAGAAACAAAAUAAUUUUUUUAGGUAUUUUUAAAAUAUAGACCAAGUUCUCAAGACUUUAAUAAACCAGUUAUCAAAUUCAAUGCGCAUGUAAAAUAAAAAGACUAUUUUUUGUGAUUUCUUAAUAUGCUAUAAUAUGCAAAUAUAAUUUAUUUUUGAGAUAUUUGACCAUUUGCACACAAAUAAAAAUAUAUUUUUGUAUUUUUCUUUGAAUAAUAGUGACACGAUCAAAAGAUUGAUGUCUUAUCCCAAGUGCAGGAGUGCCGAAGUAAUAAAUAACCUAGCAAGACCGGUGUCGAAUCACAUGGAGGUUAACUAUAUAAAUUAACAAGAAGAAGAAGAAGAAGAAGAAGAAGAAGUUAAAGAGGACUUUGAGAUUGUAAGAUUAACAUGAGGUUUGAACAAUGAUAAAAACAAGUGUCAGGUUAAAGGAUCCACUAAUAGUAUUAGAUAUAAGUAAAAGUAUAAACUCUUUAUAAAUUAUUAACAUGAUCAUAUUAAUCAUUUUAUUUAUGUAAUACCAUAUUUAUAAAUUUUAUCAAGUAUUCAUGAUGUUAACUUAUGUUGACAGUAAAUCAAGUUCCUCUUAUAAUAACGAUGUCGACUGAAAGAUCAAGUAUUUGAUAUACCAAGUGUUAUACAACACAAAUCUAGAUUAACCAUUUAACAAGUAAGGUAUUAAGAAUUAAUAAGAUAAAAAUGAUAAGACAUGUUAAUAGUAAUGUGAAUUAAUAUUUUGGUUCUACUGGGCAUUCAAGAGUUGAUAUAUAUAUAUAUAUAACUGUUCUUAAUAAUUCACAUUUUGUUAUGUUUUGAUUGUUGGUGUUGAUGAUGGAGAGAAAAAAAACUUUGAGAAGAGCAGGGUAAAGGGAGAAGGAUGAGCUCCGAGGUAGUGUAGACUAAAUUGAUUGGUCGCGCUUCACUGUGGGCUGGGUUAAUUUCUUUGUAGCUGAUAAAAACGAUGUUAAAGCUUGACCACUGUCUUCUAAAAAGUGGAAAAAAAUUAAUGACUCAAACAUAAUCGAAAAAAAACUAAAAAAUAAUAAUCUUUAAACUGAAUCAAACUCUAAAAUAAUAAAAUUGAAAAAAAAAAUCUAUACAAAAAAAUACUAAAAAAUAAAAUACUAGUAAGAGAUCAUCAAAAUAUGUCAAACCUUAAAUAUUAAAAAAAUAUUGAAUUCAAGGAUUAAAACAAAUUCAUAAAAGAAUCCAAAACAUAAAAAAAAAAUUCAAUUUUCAAUCAAUUCAAUGAUUAUAGAUGAAAAUUUUAAAAAUAAUUAAAAAUUAUUGAAGUGAACCCAGUCCAAUCUUCCAAUUUGUAAUAGAUCAUGAGACCAGAUCACAACUUAAAAGAAAAACAAGAAAAAAUAAAAAUGUAAAAUUCUAAAUCAACCAAAAUAAUUAGGGAUAAACAUGAAAAAAAAUGAUUUUAAAAUGUAGAUUUGAAAAGAAAAAAACCAAAUUUGACUAAAAAAAACAAAUCAUAAGGGAUGAAAUUAGAAAAUAAUUUCAAUUAAGAAAAUGAUAAAAACAACAAAAAACAACAAUAAAAAAUAAGUAUUAUAUUUGAUAUAAAAAUAAAAUGUCAAGAUAUGAAAUUUAAAAACAAAUUAAUACAAUAAAUGAUUGAAAACAAAAAAACAUUAUAAUUAGAAGAAUAAAAAUCAAAUCUAAUAUAAAAAUAAAGUAUAAAUGGAUGCAAUUAAAAAAAUAAUUAAUUUAAUGAAUAAUUCAAAACCAAAUAAAUUUGAUUAAUUUAAUGAACAACACUAACAGGAAAGAUCCCGCCGGGUUGGUUGUGCUCCAUUCACCGGUGAACGUCACCGGCCACACAAUCCCGACCAGUGGUUUUGAAAGGCAGAACCUUAGAAACCCAAAAUCGGAAAAUUUGAAUCACCCUCUCUACUCCUUCCUAAGAAAAUCCCUCCUUACAAUCCCCCCUCUCUUUAUCCCAGCAAAGACAAGAGAACAAAAUGGUGGAAGAGAAGUCACGCAUCUGAGCAUCAAAAGCAAGGAAAGAAAAAACCAAAAAUAGUCUUUCAUCCAAAAACCAUAAGGACGAGAAUAAAAAUGGACCCCAUGAAAUAUUUGUCUACAGUGUUCCGACUUGGGACAGCGUCAACAAUUUCACCUAAAAACAGCGCAUUAUUUCUUUCUUGCCCUCCUACCUCCACAUCUUUUUUCUGAAUAUUUCCAUAACCUGCGAACUUAGCCAUCCUACGAAGAAAAACGCUUUCCUUUUAUUGUAAUUCUUUUAUUACUUACAAGUGGGGCCAAUGGCAAAUGGAGUAAAUUAGUGAUUGACUAGCCUUAUUCCCAAGCUCUGCUGUGGGUGAAGUUUCAUGUUAAUUUUUAACGCAAGAACACAAAACGAUGGAUGCAUUUUGGGGUCUUCGGAAUUAUCUAUGUUUAAUAAAAUAAAAUAAAUAAAUAAGAGAUAUUAACACUAAUUAAAUAAUAGAAUGAAAAUUUAAUCAUGUAAUAAAAGCAAAAAAUAAAUACAAAUGUAAAUUCUUGAUACACGUGCCGUUUAAAAUGCAUCAACACUUUCUACAGGCAGGCACAUAUAGCUUUUUAAAAUUAAAUAUUAUUUUAUUAUUAUAAAAUACAAUAAUAUCUUGAUAAAAAAAUAAUAAAUAACUAACUUGAAAAGACUUAAAUAUCCCUUGAUCAAAAACAUUGAUUUUGUUCACUUAAAAGAGCAUUUUAGUAAUCUAACCAUAACUUAAAAUAUAAAAGACUGAUAAUACCCUCAAACUAAAAACAUAUAAACCAACAAUACCUUCUUAAGCAAGAACACCUGUUAUUUAAAUGAGAGGUUAAAUAAUAAUAAUUUUACUAUUAUAAUACACAAUAAAAAGUGUAUUUCGCUGCUCCAAGACCCCUUCCGAUUCAGUAUAUAUGUUAUAUAUUUAUGCAAUGUAAAUAUACUUGGUUGCCUAUGGUAAAUUAAAGGUACAAUACGGCUGCCCUUACUGAAUAUAUUUAAUCAAAUUUAAGACAAUCAUCAUAAAACAAGGUACGUAUGGCUGCCCUUAGUGAAUUAAAGGUCCUUUUUGGAGGCCAAGAUCACACUAUACAUUCCGAAAUGACUAUAAGUACAUAUCUAAAAUAAAAAUCGAAGUGCUUUGUCACUAAUCAGUAUAGAAAGAAUAGUAAUGAAAAAUUCAGAGGUAUAUUUUAAUUGAUUAUAUUUUAAAUUUAUGUUUUAGAAAUUAUCAGUUUAAAUCUCAAAAAUUUAAACAAAAUUUCCAUGAUCCAUGCAGUAGUUGUAAUGUAUGAUUUACAUUAUUUUUCUUUUUUAUCAAAUGUUAAUAGUUUCAUCAAGGCCGUAGGUUCAUGCUAGAUGCGUUAAGCCCAAUGCUUUGGUCUUAAUAAAUUGGCCGCGUUAAAAAACAAAGUUGAUCCAAAAAUAUAUUUUAAAAAUAUUAUGUAACACAGGACAAAUCAUGCAAGUUCAAUAAUUAUGAAAAAUAUUGUUUUAUUUUUUUCUUUAAAAAGGUAAAGUGAACAAUUAAUGUGAAAGAUGGAGUGGUUAAAUUGUUUUUUAAAAUGUUUUUUAUUUAUCAAGAUCCUGAGCAAUUUAGACUCACUCCAAGUUCUGCAAUGAACAUGAAAUAGAACAAGCAAAUAGCCUUUUUUGUUGAACCCCCCAUCAUUGCCUCCUAUGGUGAUAGAGUUUCGACCUAACAGUAUCUAGAUAUUGCAGAAACAAUAGUAAACUCAGAUGGGAACAGCAAUGGUAACUCUGAUACCUUCUUUUUAUGACAGCUGAAGGGUAAUUCUGAUACCUUCGUUUUACUUGCCUAGAUUAAGUACUCAGAAUUGACCUCUCUUGCGUUCAAUGUAGUUCCGUGUCAACAAGGAUUAUUGCACCCUCACUUUCUUUCCACUUUCAAGGGAAAGAGGAGGGAAGCAGAGCUUGGACUUACCUGGUACACUUGGGUUGUUGAUCUUUGGAUUUUUUCACAAAUUAUUGCCAAGAAGGUUAUCAUGUUCUCUAUUAUAUGUUGACGCUUGUGGUGUUUAGAAUUGAUGGAUUUGUGGUUUAUAUCAAAGUCAUCCUUGACAUUUCAAAGGAUGACUCGGUGAAUUUAAUAUACUGAUGAAACUCUUGCAUUAAAAAACUGGCUUUCAGGUGUGGUGAAAUAUUUAGAUAUGAUUUAUAUUAUUUUUUUAAUAUAUAUGUUCAAUUAAAAGCCUUUUGUGCUUAAAACUUGUACAGACUCCUACUACCUUAUAUUUAAUUUUUAUCAAAUAAAUAAGAGUGAUGAGAAUCAAAUUAUUACUAAGAAGGUUAUCAUAUUGUCUAUAUGUUGACCCUUGUGGUGUUGAGAGUUGAUGGAUUUGUGGUUUAUAUCAAAGUAAUCUUUGACAUUUCAAAGGAUGACUUGGUAAGUUUAAUAUGUUGAUGAAACUCUCGCAUUGAAAAAUUGGCUUUCAGGUGUGGUGAAGUAUCUAGAUAUUAUUUAUAUUAUUUUUUAAUAUAUAUGUUCAAUUAAAAGCCUUUUGUGCUUAAAACUUGUACAUACUCGCACUACCUUAUGCUUAAUUUUUAUCAAAUAAAUAAGAAUGGUGAGAUUCGAAUUAUUUCUAAGAAGGUUAUCAUAUUGUUAGAGCGUGUUUGAGAGUGUGGUUAUUGUUGCUUUUCAAAGUAUUUUUCACUUAGAAAAGCAUGCCAAUAAUAUUUUUUUUUUUUAAAAAAAUUAUUUUUGAGAUCAGCACAUCAAAAUGAUUUGAAAACAUCAAAACAUACUAAUUCAAAGCAAAAAAAAAAAAUUCAAUAUUUUUGAAAAAUGCUUUUCUACCGCACUACCAAACGACCUCUAUAUGUUGACGCAUAUGGUGUUGAGAGUUGAUGGAUUUGUGGUUUAUAUCAAAGUAAUCUUUGACAUUUCAAAGGAUGACUUGGUAAAUUUAAUAUGCUGAUGAAACUCUCACAUUGAAAAACUAGCUUUAAGGUAUGAUGAAAUAUCUAGAUAUGAUUUAUAUUAUUUUUUAAUAUAUUUGUUUAAUUGAAAGUCUUUUGGGCUUAAAACUUGUACACACUCGCACUAUCUUAUGCUUAAUUUUUAUCAAAUCAAUAAGGAUGGUGAGAUUCAAAUUAUUGCUAAAAAGGUUAUCAUAUUUUCUAUAUGUUGACACUUGUGGUGUUGAGAUUUGAUGGAUUUGUGGUUUAUAUCAAAGUAAUCUUUGACAUUUCAAAGGAUGACUCGGUAAAUUUAAUAUGCUGAUGAAAUUCUCGCAUUAAAAAAACUGGUUUUAAAGUAUAGUGAGAUAUCUAGAUAUGAUUUAUAUAUAUAUAUAUAUUUUAAUAUAUAUAUAUAUAUAUAUAUAUAUGUUUAAUUAAAUGUCUGUUGAGCUUAAAAUUUGUACAAAUUCACACUACCUUAUGUUUAAUUUUUAUAAAAUAAAUUAGGAUGGUUAGAUUUAUAUUAUUUAAUAUUACUGCUCUAACUGUUGUCUUUAAAGACUUGAUGGAUUGUUCAUGGACUACACACUGUUUCUCCACCCAUGGCUAGGCUCCUCUUUGCUGGCUACAUAGCCUUACUGCUCCUGCUGCUAGUCUUCCAAAACAGCAACUGCAAGGAUACCAAUCCCUGUGCCCCUUCUUCAUGUGGCAACCAGACUAUUAGCUACCCCUUUAGCCUAAACAGUAGUGAUCCAUUAAACUGUGGAAACGCUCUCUAUACCCUCCACUGCGAGAAAAAUACCUCCACAGUUUUGUAUUUAGACUCACGAAAAUACUACGUGCAGGCAAUCAACUACAACAACUUGACAAUCCGAGUGGUUGAUGCUGGUGUUGAAGAAAAUGAUUGCUCUUCGCUUCCUGAUUUUUCUUUAGCAUUUGAUAGCCUAGGUAAUUCCAUAAGGGCAUAUAAUUUUUUUACUUUAGCAUUUACA
rnacentral:lncRNA from 1 species